UACGAGGGGUGCAAGCGUUAUUCGGAAUAACUGGGCGUAAAGAGCGCGUAGGCGGCUUGUUAAGUCUGUUGUUAAAUUGCCCGGCUCAACCGGGAAUCGGCAAUAGAAACUGGCGAGCUAGAGGACAAGAGAGAGAAGUGGAAUUCUCGGAGUAGCGGUAAAAUGCGUAGAUCUCGAGAGGAACACCGAUGGCGAAGGCAGCUUCUUGGCUUGUAUCUGACGCUCAAGUGCGAAAGCGUGGGGAGCAAAC
rnacentral:rRNA from 1 species